CCAAAAACUGUUCUGACCCUGUCUCACGAAAAUUCACAUAUCUUAAAAUAUAAAAUUCCUUUCGCUACACCGUUAUUUUUCCAUGAAAAUAGACUCAACAAGAUUUAAUUCCAUAUAUCAUUCACCCUCUAAUUCAUUUUAUACUAUCUUGGGUGAUUUUUCAAAUUCACGUCACUGUUGCUGCCUGAAUUCUGUUUCUUUGCAAAAUUUCAUCCUUUCAUGAUUUCCAUACAUAAUUUAUCACCUAGACUCUUAUAACAACAAAUACCUUCAUACUUAACCAUUUUAAUAACCAUACAUCAUCAAAUACUUACACACCAUUCUUUAGCAAAAUCAUAAUCACAAACAUUCAAAAUAACUAAAUCCCUAUACAUGUCAUAACUCAAACGUGUUUCGAUAUAAAAUACCGAGCAGUUGUGGUUGAUAGUGUGGACGAUCUCCGACUUCUUUAGGAUCCUUGAAGUAGCUUUGCAAUACUAUAAGAGAAAGAGAAAUAAAAGAAGUAAGCAUAAAGCUUAGUAAGUUUACUAGCAAAUAAAUAACAAUAUUUAACUUAAAUAAUUAAACUCAAAUGUCUAUAUCUCUAGUUUACUCUUUAGUUAAUCUCAUACUAGUUCUCUUGCUUGUUUACUUAGAAUACUUGUGUACAUAACUUACUCAACUCUUGCUGCAUCGUUGAACAUCAAUUGAUAGUAUAAUAAGUUCUUAACUCUUAUAACUUACCUGAGCUUGCCAUUUAUGCUUUAAACUGAACUUUCAUGAACAUGAUUCGUUUACAAGCCCGUUGAGCUACAUUGGAAUAAUAAGGAUACUCGGGUCUCUUCUGAUAAUAACAUGCCAAAGCCAUGUCCCAGACAUGGUCUUACAUGGGAUGUUCUCAUGUUGGUGCCCAUGCCAUGUCGCAGACAUGGUCUUAUAGGGGACAUCUCAUCUCGGUGCCAACGCCAUGUCCCAGACAUGGUAUUACAUGGGACCUCUCGUCUCGGUGCCCAUGCCAUGUCCCAGACAUGGUCUUACAGGGGACCUCUCAUGAUCUUAAGGAUGCCAAUGCCAUGUCCCAGACAUGGUCUUACAUGAGAUCUCUUUACCCAAAUGUCAUGACAUUCGUAUCCAGUACCAUCCUUAUGUAUCAACGGGACUUUUUAAUUUUAAUUCUCUAUCAUUUCAUGCUUAGAUCAUCAUCAAAUAAAUUCAUAAAAUAAAUUCAUAGUUGCUGGAAAAUAACAUCAUUGAUAAUAAAUAUUGAAAUAUUGCAUUUAUUUACCGUAAACUUACCUCGGUACCAAUUAUAGCCAAAUUCACCAACUUAGUCUUCAACUUUAUUCUUCCCUUUGUCUAACCUCGAGUUUCGUACUUCUUGAUCUAAAAUAGUAAAUUUAACUUAUUUAAUAAUCACAUUCAUCAAAACAGCCCUCGACUCUAACUUUUUCAAAAUUACAAUUUUGCCCCUAAACUUUUACAUAAUUACAUUUUUGCCCCAAGGCUCGGAAAUUAAACUUCAUCUCUUAUUCUUAUGUUUUAUAACAUUCUGAACAUUUUUCCCUUCUAUGGCAACAUCAAAUUCCCACUCUAACAUGUACUUAUGAACAUUAGGUAUUUUUACCGAUUAUGUCGUUUUACUCGUUUUCACUUAAAAUCGCUUAGCAAAAGUUGUUUAACAUAAUUUCUAGCUUCAUAUUCUAUCAUAAAACAUCAAAGUAAACACUUCUCACCUAUGGGUAUUUUUCCAAAGUAUAAACCCUUGGUUAAAUUAUUGCUAGAAUAAGCUAAAUUAAGCUACCGGGACUCCAAAAACGUAAAAAAAAUUAAAAACGGGACUUGGGAUCACUUACUAUGGAGCUUGGAAGCUUGAAAACCCUAACUAUGGCUUCCCCCCUUUCUGAUUUCGUCCUAAUGAAGAAGAUGAUGAUUUUUGCCAUCUUUUUCCCUUUUAAUUCAUUUUAAUUACUAGAUUACCAAAUUGCCCCUAACUUAAAAAUUUUCUAUUUCACUUAUCUCAUGUCCAUUUUUUUCUACCAAGUUACCAAUGGUAUAAUUACCAUAUAAGGACCUCCAAUUUAAAGUUUCAUAACAAUUGGACACCUCUAACAUGUAGAACUCAACUUUUGCACUUUUUACAAUUUAGUCCUUUUGACUAAAUUGAGUGCCCAAACGUCAAAAUUUUCGAACGAAAUUUUCACGAAAUCAUUUUGUGAAAUUGUAGACCAUAAAAAAUAUAAGAAAAAUAAAAUUUUUCUCAUCGGAUUUGUGGUCCCGAAACCACUGUUCCGAUAACCUCAAAUUUGGGCCAUUACAACUCUCCCCCCCUUUUUAGGAUUUUCGUCCUCGAAAAUCUUACCAGUAAAGAGAUUCGGGUAUUGCUUCCUCAUUGUCUCUUCCGGUUCCCAUGUUGCUUCCUCAAUCCCGUGCUUUUGCCAUAGCACUUUCACCAGAUUUACCUUUAAGCUCAUUUGUUUCUCGUGCUAAUACUUUAACCGGUUCUUCAUUAUAAGUCAUAUCCGGCUGAAUUUCUACUUCUGUUGGAGUAAUAACAUGUGAAGGAUCUGAUCGAUACCGUCGUAGCAUAGAUACAUGAAAUACAUUAUGAAUUUUGUCGAGUUCCGGUGGUAAAGCCAAUCGGUAAGCAACUGGUCCAAUUCUUUCUAUAAUCUCAUAUGGUCCGAUCAAUCUUGGACUCAAUUUACCCUUUCGACCGAACCGGAGAACUUUCUUCCAAGGAUACACUUUUAAGAAUACUUUAUCACCCACCUGAAAUUCAAUCUCCCUUCGUUUAAGAUCGGCGUAUGACUUUUGACGAUCGGAAGCUGCUUUUAAACUAUCCCGAAUCAGUCUUACUUUUUCUUCUGUUUCCCGAAUCAAAUCAACUCCGUGUAUCUUCUUUUCACUGAGCUCUGUCCAAUAUAAUGGUGUUCUACAUUUUUUACCAUACAAAGCUUCAUACGGAGCCAUUUUAAUACUGGACUGAUAACUGUUAUUAUAAGCAAAUUCAAUCAAAGGUAGAUACCUUUCCCAAUUACCUUGAAAUUCUAAUACACAACAUCGGAGCAUAUCUUCCAAUACCUGAAUUACACGCUCAGAUUGGCCAUCUGUCUGAGGAUGAAAUGCAGUACUGAAAUGCAACUGAGUACCCAAAGCUUCUUGCAACUUGUUCCAGAAACGAGACGUAAAUCGAGGGUCUCUAUCUGAUAUAAUGGAGACAGGCACUCCAUGUAGUCUAACAAUCUCAGAUAUGUACAAUUCAGCCAAUUUAUCUAAAGAAUAAUCCAUACAUACCGGAAUAAAGUGCGCGGGCUUUGUCAAUCGAUCGACAAUUACCCAAAUGGCAUCUUUCUUCUUUGGAGACAUCGGUAACCCAGAUACAAAAUCCAUAGUGACUCUUUCCCAUUUCCAUUCCGGUAUAGUGAUUGGUUGAAGCAACCCCGAAGGUACCUGAUGUUCAGCUUUAACCUGUUGACAUAUCAAACAUCUUGAUACAAACUCAGAGAUAUCACGUUUCAUACCCGGCCACCAAUACAUCUUUUUCAAAUCAUUAUACAUUUUAUUACUCCCCGGAUGUACAGACAUAGUACCGCUAUGGGCCUCGUGUAGAAUCUUCUGUAUAAGCUCGAAAUUCUUCGGUACACAUACUCGGCCUCUGAAUAAUAAACAACCAUCAGUCUCAGUCUGAAAUUCUGAAUCAUUACCUGACUCACAUUGAACCCGUUUAGCUUGUAACUUCUCAUCAUUUUUCUGAGCCUCACAUAUUUGUUGACGAAACAUCGAUUUAGCCUUCGUUUCAGCUAUGAUUGAACCAUCAUCAGUCAGUGACAACCGGGCAUUCAUAGCUCGUAAAGCAAAUAGAGAUUUUCGGCUCAAAGCAUCAGCUACCACGUUAGCCUUACCCGGAUGGUAAUCAAUAACCAAAUCAUAAUCCUUUAUCAAUUCAAGCCACCCGCGUUGUCUCAAAUUCAAAUCUUUCUGUGUCAUCAAAUAUUUCAAGCUUUUGUGAUCAGUAUAAAUAUGACACUUUUCACCAUACAAAUAAUGCCGCCAUAUUUUCAAUGCAAAUACAAUAGCAGCUAACUCGAGAUCAUGUACCGGGUAGUUUCUUUCAUGUGGCUUAAGUUGUCUUGAAGCAUAGGCUAUUACUUUAUCUUCUUGCAUCAAGACACAACCCAAACCAUUUAAUGAUGCAUCACUAUAAAUAAUAAAUUCCUUACCCGAUUCAGGCUGUACCAACACAGGUGCUUUCGUCAACAACUCCUUCAAUCGGUCGAAACUUUGCUGGCAUUUUUCUGUCCAUUCAAAUUUAACAUCUUUCUGUAAUAAACGGGUCAUUGGAGAAGCUAUCAUAGAAAACCCUUGUACAAAUCUCCGAUAAUAACCAGCUAAACCCAAGAAACUUCUAACUUCAGAUACAUUCUUCGGUGGACUCCAAUUGACAAUAGCUGAAAUUUUACUCGGAUCUACCCUGAUGCCUUCUGCGGAUACAAUAUGUCCGAGAAAACCUACCUCUCGAAGCCAAAAUUCACAUUUACUGAAUUUAGCAUAAAGUUUCUUUUCACGCAGAAUUUGCAACACUAUUUUCAAAUGUUCUGCAUGCUCAGUUUCAUCCCGAGAAUAAAUUAAAAUGUCAUCAAUAAAAACUACUACAAACCUAUCUAGAUACGGUCUGAAUAUCCGGUUCAUCAAAUCCAUGAAUACUGCAGGUGCAUUAGUCAACCCAAACGGCAUAACCAGAAACUCAUAAUGCCCAUACCUGGUUCUGAAAGCUGUCUUUGGCACAUCUGGCUCUUUUACCCGUAACUGAUAAUAACCCGAUCGGAGAUCAAUCUUUGAAAAUACUGUGGCACCUUUCAAUUGAUCAAAUAAGUCAUCAAUUCGAGGCAACGGGUACUUAUUCUUUAUAGUUACCUUAUUAAGCUGCCGAUAGUCAAUACACAAUCUCAAAGACCUGUCUUUCUUUUUCACAAACAGAACUGGAGCACCCCAAGGUGAAUGACUCGGACGAACAAAACCUCUGUCAACAAGUUCCUGUACCUGUGCCUUUAACUCUUUUAAUUCUGUAGGAGCCAUACGAUACGGAGCUAUGGAAAUUGGGGCAGUUCCUGGAAUCAAAUCUAUAGAAAAUUCCACUUCUCUUUCUGGUGGCAACCCUGGUAAUUCCUCUGGAAACACAUCAGAAAAUUCACAUACAACUGGCACUGCCUGUAUCUUUGACUCAGAUACUUUAGUAUCCAACACAUACACCAAAUAAACAUCAUACCCUUUUCUAACACACCUCUGAGCUGUCAUAACUGAAAUCAUAUAGGAUAAUCCCUUUGUCUGAUUAGAUUUAACCCAAAGUAAUUCUCCAUUCUAGCAUUUCAACACAACAUAUUUUUGUCUACAGUUUACUACUGCAUCAUGCUAAGUUAACCAAUCCAUGCCCAAUAUCACAUCAAACUCAUCAAAAGGCAAUAACAUCAAGUCAACCGGGAAACAAAUACCUUUUACCAUCAGUGGACAAUUUUUACAAACUUUAUCCACUAUCACAAACUGGCCCAGGGGGUUCGAGACUUUAACCAUAAAUUCAGUAGGUUCAACAGACAAAUUUUUAACAAAUGCUAAUUUUGUGCAUAUAUAUGAAUGUGUAGAGCCAGGAUCAAUUAAUGCAAUAACAGUAGUAUCAUAGAGAGAAAAUGUACCCGCAAUUACAUCAGGAGAGAAUGCCUCUUCACGAGCUCGAAUAGCAUAUGAUCUUGCAGGUGCUCUAACAUCUGAUCUAACCGCUGAAUCUCUGGAUGCACCCCUAUUACUCGCCCCCACUACUGGGUUUCUCUACGGUCUACCUCUGGUAGGAGCAUUACCUGAUCUCGCACUCGUUAUUUCUUCUCUUUUAGUUGUUUCAAGACAAUCCCGAAUAAAGUGAUCGGAUGCUCCACAUCUAAAACAAACAUUUUCACCUGCUCUACACUCUCCGGGGUGGCGUCUCCCACAUUGAGAACAUUCAGGCCUAGGAGGUCGAGUACUGCCUGUACUUGCAACUGUAGUGGUUUGAGCUCUAAAACCCUCGAAUCUUCUACUUCUGCUUCGGCCAGAAUAUAUAUGUGGAAAAUGUGAUCCGCUAGAGAGCUCCCUAGGCCUCUUAGAUGUAGACUGAAAUGAUUUACUCAUUUGCCUCUUCUUUGUAUCCUGCGCUCCAGCUUCAGCUUUGCUCUUCUCUUUUUCUUUUAACAAGUCUUCUACUUUACAAGCUCUUUCUACCAGAACAACAAACUCUCUGAUUUCCAAUACACCCACUGAUAGUCGGAUGUCAUCAUUAAGCCCAUCUUCAAAUCUCUUGCACAUGUUGGCUUCGGUGGAUACAAAUUCCCGAGCAUACUUACUAAGUCUGACAAAUUCGCGUUCAUAUUCAGUCACGGACAUCUUACCUUGUUUUAGCUCAAGAAACUCCUUCCUUUUCUGAUCUAUAAAUCUCUGGCUGAUGUACUUCUUUCGAAACUCCUCCUGAAAGAAAUCCCAAGUAACCCUCUCACUCGGUACUAUAGACACGAGAGUCUUCCACCAAUGAUAAGCGGAAUCUCUGAGAAGUGAGACCACACACUUCAUACAUUCUUCCAGUGUACAAGAUAAUUCUUCAAAAACCCUGAUGGUAUUCUCAAGCCAGAAUUCUGCUUUUUCUGCAUCAUCAUCUUUGGUAGCCCGAAAUUCUUCAGCCCCUUGCUUCCUAAUCUUAUCAACAGGUGGUCUCUCCCUGAUAAUUAUACCUGCAGCUGGGGAAGCUACAUGGGGAACUUGUGAAUCUUGAGGGGGUGGAGGUCUUACAGCCGGAUUCGUACGAACGAACUCGGCAAACCAAUCAUUCAUGGCUUGGAAGAAGGCUUCUCUAGCUCCUCCUCCCUGUCUAACUGAUGCAGGCCUUUCACUAACAUUAACAUCUAGUGGCGCCGUCCCUUCUGCGGAAGCAGGCGCAUUACUUUCUACUUCAUCUGUACUAGCUCGUUCAGGAUCCAUAACUAUAAAAGAAAACAUUUUAAAAUCGUCAGGAGUCGUCACACUAUCAAAAUAUAUAAGUAUGGCAUGUAUAGGUAGACACUUAUUCAUAUCGAGUAUUUCCAAGAACCGACUAAACCUGCUCUGAUACCAAAAAAUGUAACACCCCUUACCCGAGACCGUUUCCGGAGUCGAGCACGAGGCAUUACUUAGCUUAUCUUACCAAUUCGGAGCAUAAAAACUAGGUUUGAAAAUUUAUUUCAUUAUUCGCAGCAAAUCUGUCCAAUCGCACAGCAGUUACUAAAUUAAUUACAACUUGAGCUACAGAACUCGAAAUUUAAUUCCGUAAAUUUUCCCUGAAACUAGACUCAUAUAUCUACUCACCAUAAAAUUUUUAGAAUUUUUGGUUCAGCCAAUUAGUACAGUUUAUUAGUUAAAGUAUCCCCUGUUUCACCACCUGACUGCCCUGACCUCUAGUCACUAAAAAUAAGUUUUCUCACUGUAGGAUUUUCAUAUGAAGUUCUUACUUGUUUCUACAGAAAAUAGACUCAAUGAUAAAUCUAUACAUAUAAACUAUAACUCAUAACCAUUUUUGUACAAUUUUUAAUGAUUUUCUAAACUCAAAACAGGGGACACCAAAAACUGUUCUGACCCUGUCUCACAAAAAUUCACAUAUCUUAAAAUAUAAAAUUCCUUUCGCUACACCGUUAUUUUUCCAUGAAAAUAGACUCAACAAGAUUUAAUUCCAUAUAUCAUUCACCCUCUAAUUCAUUUUAUACUAUCUUGGGUGAUUUUUCAAAGUCACGUCACUAUUGCUGCCUGAAUUCUGUUUCUUUGCAAAAUUUCAUCCUUUCAUGAUUUCCAUACAUAAUUUAUCACCUAGACUCUUAUAACAACAAAUACCUUCAUACUUAACCAUUUUAAUAACCAUACAUCAUCAAAUACUUACACACCAUUCUUUAGCA
rnacentral:lncRNA from 1 species